GAUGAACGCUAGCGGCAGGCUUAAUACAUGCAAGUCGAGGGGUAGCAAGAUUGUAGCAAUACAAUUGUUGACGACCGGCAAACAGGUGCGGAACACGUACACAACCUUCCUACAAGUGGGAAUAGCCCAGAGAAAUUUGGAUUAAUACCCCGUAACAUAGCGAUGUGGCAUCACAUUGCUAUUAUAGCUUCGGCGCUUGUUGAUGGGUGUGCGGCUGAUUAGAUAGUUGGCGGGGUAACGGCCCACCAAGUCUACGAUCAGUAGCUGAUGUGAGAGCAUGAUCAGCCACACGGGCACUGAGACACGGGCCCGACUCCUACGGGAGGCAGCAGUAAGGAAUAUUGGACAAUGGACGCAAGUCUGAUCCAGCCAUGCCGCGUGAAGGAUUAAGGUCCUCUGGAUUGUAAACUUCUUUUAUAAGGGACGAAAAAAGGUCUUUCUAGAUCGUCUGACGGUACCUUAUGAAUAAGCACCGGCUAACUCCGUGCCAGCAGCCGCGGUAAUAC
rnacentral:rRNA from 1 species